rnacentral:rRNA from 1 species
UAUAUAGGUAAUGUCCAUCCCUGCAACUUUCACAAGGUCGCCCAUUGAAGUUAAGCAGGGCUGCGCCCAAUCAGUACCUGGAUGGGAGACCACAUGUGAAAGCUAGGUUGCUGCCAGAA